rnacentral:tRNA from 6 species
GGGGAUAUAGCUCAGUUGGUAGAGCGCCGCUCUUGCAAUCCAGGCGGUAAUGAUAGUAUCUUGUACCUG